ACAGUGGACGCGAGCAUCUUUGUGGCCAAGUUAUUAAGGGCACACGGUGGAUGCCUUGGCACCAGGAGCCGAUGAAGGACGUAGGAGGCUGCGAUAAGCCUCGGGGAGCUGUCAACCGAGCUUUGAUCCGAGGAUUUCCGAAUGGGGAAACCCGGCAGGAGACAUGUCCUGUCACCCACGCUUGAACACAUAGGGCGUGUGGAGGGAACGCGGGGAAGUGAAACAUCUCAGUACCCGCAGGAAGAGAAAACAACCGUGAUUCCGUGAGUAGUGGCGAGCGAAAACGGAUGAGGCUAAACCGGGCGUGUGUGAUAGCCGGCAGGCGUUGCACGUUCGGGGUUGUGGGGCCGCCCAGCAGGUUCUGCCGAUCCUGCAAGGAGUGAUAAAGCGCGGCAUUAGUCGAAGACCAUGCGAAUGGGUCACCAUAGAGGGUAACAGUCCCGUAGACGAAAAUGACCGUGCCUCCUCGGCGUUACCCCAAGUAGCACGGAGCCCGUGAAAUUCCGUGUGAAUCUGGCGGGACCACCCGCUAAGCCUAAAUACUCCCUGGUGACCGAUAGCGGACAAGUACCGUGAGGGAAAGGUGAAAAGUACCCCGGGAGGGGAGUGAAAUAGUACCUGAAA
rnacentral:rRNA from 1 species